CCUACGGGAGGCAGCAGUGAGGAAUAUUGGUCAAUGGGCGCAAGCCUGAACCAGCCAAGUAGCGUGAAGGAUGACUGCCCUACGGGUUGUAAACUUCUUUUAUAAGGGAAUAAAGUGAGGCACGUGUGCCUUUUUUUAUGUACUUUAUGAAUAAGGAUCGGCUAACUCCGUGCCAGCAGCCGCGGUAAUACGGAGGAUCCGAGCGUUAUCCGGAUUUAUUGGGUUUAAAGGGAGCGUAGAUGGGUUGUUAAGUCAGUUGUGAAAGUUUUCGGCUCAACAGUAAAAUUGCAAUUGAUACUGGCAGCCUUGAGUACAGGUGAGGCAGGCGGAAUGCGUGGUGUAGCGGUGAAAUGCAUAGAUAGAACGAAGAACACCGAUGGCGAAGGCAGCAUACUAAACUGCAACUGACAUUGAGGCUCGAAAGUGUGGGGAUCAAACAGGAUUAGAUACCCUAGUAGUC
rnacentral:rRNA from 1 species